ensembl:lncRNA
CUCAGCUGAAACCACAAGAAUGUCUUGAACUGUUCUCAGCUUUUUACAAACAUCCAGCAGGAAGGAACAGCUUCAAUGAAACCUUCAACAAAGUCUGGAAUGUUGUGUGAACCUAAAUCAGUUUCAUUCAUUUAUACUACAGAGGUUAUCUGUGCAUUUUAAAUUCUAAAAUGAACUUGCGUGCAAUUCGGAUAAUCUUUUCAUCUUUUUUUAAUCAAAUUUGCUCUAAAUGCAUUAUUUAAUCCUGAAGACGAGUUGCGUAUAAUUACUGGAAUGGAACAUAUUUCGGAACAUUGAUUUUGAUAACGCUGUCACCACAGUUGAAGGAGAUUAAUUCUUCUGAUGGAUGUUUCCUACUAUUACAUGUCAGUCCCCACCCACCCCUGCUUGCCUCUCUCUCUUCCUUUUUUUCAGUUUUUAAGAGUAUCUGCAGGCCUGAAGCUAAAGGAAAAGGUCAAGUGAGUUCUGAGCACUAAUCUAGGUAGGACUAGAAUAAGAGAAGUAUUCAUUCCCAGCAUGCAAUGGGAGACUGGGGCGUGACUCUGGCGUGUGCAUGACAUACUGGCACCCCACCAACCACACUCUUGUUUUCACAGAACCGCAAACACAUGGCUGGUUUUCACACGGCCGUUUGCUGCUGGCGAGAGCUGACUAUGCGACGAGGACCACAGGCUGCCCAGACAGAGCCUCCAGACAAAGAAGAUGAUUCAUCCUGGAUGGCUGUGAUAUUGAUACUGGCCACAAUGUGCAGAAGGAAUCGGGUCGUGUCAGAGGAGAGCUUCAAGGCUUCGGUUAAAUAAAACAAUCAGUGAAUCUCAGCUUCGAAUGAUUUCUGAGUUGUUGAACUCGUCCACGCUUGCCCAUCGAGAGAUUCUAUCAGUUUAAACGAGAUUUACUGCAGUCCUUACCUUCUUCUAGCACCGAGAUUCCAACUAUUAAUUUAGCCAAGAGCCCCUCUGGUUUCCUUUUCCAAAUGAUUUAAAUGAAAACAGUCUGUCAUUUUCUUGGCAGCGCGGUAGACGUUUCACUUAGGGAGGGAUUGUUGGAGAGAAAAUUUGUUCGGGGACACGGCUAUAUGUUUCACGCUCGAUCUCUU